UUCAAUUUACACAGUGCUAUAUGGCAACAAUAUGGAAUUUGAACAGUGGUAGUGUUUUAAGGUCUGGACUAUCAUUACUUUGCAUUCUCCAAGCAGAGUUGUCGUUCGUGCCUCAACAUACAUCUCUGCAACGGGCUCAAUUUUAGGAAUCUUGGCAAAACACAUCAAAAUGACACAGGAUGAGAAAAUUGUGCAGCAAGUCCGGGAUUUAAACCUGGGACCCCUUGCUCUUCUGGUUGAGCUUAUCAGGCGCCACAAAACAUCUCCCCUUUAGUGACAAUCACUAAGUUCGUGCACUGACAUUCUGCUCUGCCAAGCUGGAAAUUGUUCGAGAAUUCAAGUCACAGGAAUCAUUGUAAACCUGAUCCAUUCAAACCACGAACCGAUUUUGUUGAGAGUUGCUUGUGCCAUGGUACCACAUUUGGCACCAAAUGUUGCAGGAUGGGAAAAUUGUAAAGCCAUGUGGAACUUGAAUCUUUACCCCUUGCUAUCAGGGCCAGUGCCUAUGAUCAUGCUGUUAGAUACAUGUGGACAAUAAAACAUGUAGUUAAUUACUUGAUCAGUAUUCAUGGUUACCGGUAACCUGCUAAUUUGUAACUGCCACCAUUGUGGGAUCAUACUAUUGAUCAUUUAUAUCAAGUUCUGAACAUAUUAACUAACCUACAUGUAGAAUAGUAGAUGUUUGUUUCUGUUCACAAUGCUUAAAACUAUAAAUCUAUAAACUGCAGUUCUAGGUCUUAUUUCCAUUUAAAGAUAAAAUAAAAUUUAAAUGAAAUGCUUAGCAUUGCUGAAUUCUUCAUUUCUGCUCCUGUAUUUCAAGAGAGAAUACUUUCCAGUCAACCCGAUUGGAAAGAGGUUUGGAUCCAAAUCCUAGUAGGGGCUCCAGAAGAUGAUGUAAUUGCAACAAACCAUUUAUUGAUAAUAUUCAAUUGGUACUUUCAUUUCAAUACAAUUAUUGCAAUGGUUUAAAAUUGCAUUGAUUAGUUUAUAAAUAUCAUAUAUAUUCCUGAAAUCAAAGAUUUCAUUGUAAAUACAUAAAUAAAGCACUGAUCCUGAAUAUUUUAUUUGAUAAUGUCAAUAUCAGUAUCAACUUCCCAUUACCAGUAUAUACACCAUUAAAAACAACUUCAGUUUGUGAAAAAUAUCCACACACAAAACAUUAAAAAAUUAAAUAUACUGCUGUUUUUACUCAUGAAAUUGGGAAUUCAAGCGUUAAUUCAACCAACAUUGAGAAAAUACUAUAAGUUUUCUAAAUUUUUAAAAUUAAAAAUAUGAUAUCCUUUGGUGUUUUUUUUACUGGAAUUGUAAAAAGGAUAUGUUUUUCCAUCGGGAAUAUGACCGAAUAACGGCUAUACAAUCAGCUGGAAAAAGCCAUGAGUUACAAGGCAAAUAAAUGUGCAUCUUAAGUAUUAAGAAAAACAUAGAUUUUAUUCAAUAUCUGGUGUUUAUUUAUCUUUACCUGAAGAAUUACCGUUUGCUUUAUCAAAUUGUAUGCUAGAAGCUUAUUUGUAGCUUAAUUGCCGAAAUAAAUGUUGUUGUUGUUGUUUAUAUUUAUCAUGAUUUCUUACCAGUAAUAUUUUUACAUGAAACAGUAUAAUUUCUUACACUUUCCUUUAAACAGGUUUACUGGGAUACAUGUGUUAUCUUUAAUUUUGAUAAAUAACUGAAGUUAAAUUUAGACACAUUCUUAAUGUAAUAUACAUGUAUCAUGACAUUUUUUAAAGUUUUAUAUUUCCAACCAAGUUGAUAUUCUGAAACAGCUUGUGGUACAUUAGGCCCUACCCGUAUAUGCAAAUUAUUCACAAUAUUUUUUUUAAACAAAAUAUACCAUCAUGCAUUAUUAGUCUUUACAACAUUUAUUAUCUAAAGUAGUAAAUUGUCACAGUUAUUAUUUAAUACAUAAAUAUUUUUCUACAAUCAAUUUUUACAUUUAUCAGUGCAAUAUGUACCCAUUCAUAUAGAAUGAAUGGCAUUCCUAUAGAUAAAAUGUUAAGAUCAAAUUUUAAUAUUUUUAUACUUAAGUGCUUGCAUUUACAUGUAUAUUUAGAGUUGUUUAGAUUGAAAAGAGACUCAAAAAAUAAGUUUUUGGUAUGGUAGCGUAUGUUGAAACAUAAAUAACGCUGAACAUGACGGUUUCAAAUGAAGUCAAGUUAAGUUUUCCUUUUUAUUUUAAUUAGAUAUAAAUUAUGGAAAAGUAUGCAAGUGUAUGAAAGAAAAAAGUAAGGACAUUCGAAUUUACACCCCACACUGUCGCCUUUUCUCUUAUUGUUUUCUGUUGUUUAACUCAUCCUCUGCACCUGCGAAGAAUAUCCAAAAAAUCCUGUCACAUGUAAUCAUGUUUAAAUGUAUGUACUUUGAUGCAUUGCUGUAUCUCCUGAAUAUCCUGAAUAAAAUAUAUUGACAUUGAACAAAACAAGGACAUGCACUACUGUAUCAGCAAUUCAGGUCUUUCUCCAGAAAUUUGCUAAGGCACUGGGAAAAAUAUGUGUGAUUCACCAGGUACUGGGUUACCCCUUUGAAUUUGUUUCAUUUUAGGCACUGAAUCAAAUGUUACUGUAAUUGAGAAAGUGCAAUAAUUGAACAAAUAUAAUUAUUUAAACUAAUCAGCCUUUAAAAAGCUGUUGAAUCUUUGUAUUUUUAUGGCUUUCAUGAUAGUGAUGAAUUACAGCAACACAAAUUGGUGAGAAAAUGUAAUAAUCAAAUUAAAGAUUUAGGCACAGGGUUGCCCUGGUGCUUAAAAAG